AUUGCAAAUAUGCACACACUCUCGGGCGAGGUUCUCUGGUCCUCAGGUGUGGGGGGCCAGGGAAGUCACGCCGGCGCUCUCGGGUGAUGUUCUCCGGUCCACAAAUGCGGGGGCCGAAGAAGUCACACCGGCUCCUGCUGGCGGCAGACUUUUAUGCAUUGGUACUGGAAGGGGGAGGGCAGUGGGCGGGAUAAGGGCAUGAUAGGGGCGUCUCCGUAGGCAUGGCCGGGAAAGUUUCAAUCUCUUCAGAUUGACGUCACCUGGCGCAUGCUCGGUUGAUCUGCAUCUUCCCGGGCGUGGGCUGCAUUUUCCCGCGCGUGGGAAAGUGGGUGAGGAAGAACCCGGAAGCAACAUGGAUUGUGCCUUCUUGUUCACCUUCCUCCAUCUUGUCCUUUCUCCCUCACCCAAACAGUCCAACCUCUUAUUGAUUAUAAGAAUUUGGGGUGCCGUUGUCUGUCUGGCUGCUUCCUGCUGUUAGGGGGCGUAGUUAGGGUCUGAGGUUGGCAGUUGGGUGUAGGGAUGCAGGAGCAUUUGGUUGAAGGUGACUGGGGUGAUCUCUUGGACCCUGGCUCGGAGAAAUUUUAUUAAAAUGGGAGCAAAAUAUAAGGCAAGGCAGAGGAUUAGUAUGGGAAUUAGGAAAUCACAAAGGGCACCCUGCCAAGCUAGGUCUUCUAUGAGAGUAAAAAGUUGGGAAACCCACUGGUUGGGGGAUGGGUCGGGAAGGAGGGUGUCUAUGGGGUUUAUGAGGGAAAAGUCAGUUAAGAUGAAGAAUGGUGAGGAAGCGGGAAAAUUUGAGGAGGUUGUUGAUCCUUGAGUAGAACCUGGUCACCUGGAGAAAAGGAAGGGGAAUAGAUGUUUUGAGUUAGGUUAAGAUGUCUCGUCCCAAGAGGGGGGUGGGACAAGAGGGCAUGAUGAGGAAAGAGUGGGCAAAGCAUGCAUAGUCUGGGCAGUAACAACACUGGGGUCUGGUGAGGGUUAGACGGUUUACUGUCUACCCUAACUACUGAGAUAGUGGAUGGCUGGCUAGGACCUCCAUAGGUUGACAAAACAGAAUAUAAUUGUAAAACAGAAUAGGUAGCCUCCGUAUUGACGAGAAAAGAAAUUGGCUUACCCGCUACCUGUAGAGUUACCCUAGGCUCGGCGAGGGUGACAGGGGUCUCCAAGUGUGGGCACCGUCAGUCGUUGUCCAGGUGUAGGAGCUGGAAGGAGCCUUCCGACCCUUGAGGAGAGGCACCACGUUGAGGCGCAAUGCCUGCCCUGCUGGUGGGGCAAUCAGACUUCCAGUGUCCUUCCUGUUGGCAGGUUGGGCACGGCGUGGUAGGCAGGCGAGGAUUUGGACACUGUUUUGCCUAAUGCCCAGUUGUGCCACACUUAAGGCAUGGACGAGACAGAGUGGCCGGCUUGGCCUGGGGACACUGGUUUGCCUAGUGUCCUGGGUCUCCGCAUUUAUAGCAGAGGCCCUUGGGAGACUUGCCCUGUGUCUUCCCUGCCGGCAGAGUGGGCAACGCUGGUUGGAGGGCAGCCACUAGAGCUUGCGCCUGAAGCACAGCCCUUCUUUUCUCCUUGUCUAGCUCUGCGGCCUCAGCUGCUUCCUCUCUGGAGUUAAAAACUUUGAAGGCCAAUUUUCCUGUAUGGGAGUCUGAGGCCCAUCUUCAACCUUUUUUUGCUUUUUUCGAAUAUCUGAGGCUGACUGGGAAAUAAAAUAGGAGGCUAGGACAGCUGCCCCGGCUGGGGAAGUGGGCUAGCUGGGUAAAUUGGGCCAGUGCCUCUGUAAGGUGAUUUAGGAAGGAAGCCGGGUUCUCAUCUAGGUGUUGGAUAAUUUCCUUUAAUUUAUCAAAAUUGACCACUUUGUUAGAGGCUGCCUGCAUACCGGCUAAGAGACAUUGAAUCAUAAUGUCCUUCCUACGGCGGCCAGGCUGCUGUGGUUGGUAAUCUCAAUCUGGUUCUAUGGACGGGACAGCCAUCUCUCCUAACAGGACGGUGGUGUCGGAUAAAUGCCAUUGAUCUGCAUGUUGCCUGGUGGCUGCGAGAAUGUACUCUCUUUCCUCUGGGUUAAGAGUAGAAGUAAGAAUGACAUGUAAGUCAUGCCAGGCGGAAACCGAACUCUACCUGGCUACAAAGCGUCCUUUGGAGCCACUAGAGACUGGGAGGCUCCUGGAGCCGGAAUGGAGAUUACCUCCAGGCGGACGUCUCCGUCCUGGACGGGUCUCACACGGACUGGAAUGGAGUUUCUUUGGGCAGACAUCUCUACCUUUGGGAACUCUCCUGUGGGUCACCUGGUGACCAAAAAACCUUGGGCCUGCGCAGGACUUCUGGCCAAGGAGUAUGAGAGGGAGGCAAGAGAUACUCACCCCUAGGAGACUUGGAGGUGUGGAAAGCGAUGUCUAGGUCCUGGUCCGUCUGCAGCGUGGAAGGAGGAGGCUCCUCGGACCUUAGGGGGCCCUGAGGAGGGGUCUCCUCCCGGGUUUUUGGCAUGCCACAGUGGAGAGGAAAAUUAGCCGCUUUUGUUUUAAAUCUUGAGCUAAAUGUAAGGCUUCCAAGUUUUGGAGGAGACACCCUAAAGGGGUGUUCAUAGGGAUUUUCAAUUGUGAGGUUCCCAUUGUUUAACCACCAGAAAUGGAAACCGACCUCAUGCAGUGGCAAAGCGUCCUUUGCCGCUGCUGGAGACCGGGGGCUCCUGGAGCUACUAAUGGAGAAUUGAGGAACUUCAAGAUGGACGUCUCCGAGUUGAAGACCUCACUGCGCCACAGGGUGGCUACGUCCUUGGGCGUACAUACGACUCUAGGCCAAGGACACGGAAACGGACGGAGAUGGUUAACAAAGGGGAGUACUCACCGAAGAAGAAAUUCUCAGAGCGGCACCAGUGGAAAGCUGGAACACUUGUUUGGUGUUUGUGGCUGGUUGGGUUGGGAGCCGGUUCGCUGUGGAGGAGGUUCGUUAGACCCCUAGGGGAUGAUGAGGAAGGGUCUCCUCCUGGGUCGGGUUUCAGCACCAACUGUUUUAAUUUAAUUUAAUGUAACAAUUUAGGAGAGCUAAGUAAUUAAACAUGAGGCCAAAGUA